rnacentral:siRNA from 1 species
CCUCAGCGACGGACCGGGCCU